UACCGCGAACUGCGAAUGGCUCAUUAUAUAAGUUAUCGUUUAUUUGAUAGUACCUUACUACUUGGAUAACCGUGGUAAUUCUAGAGCUAAUACAUGCUAAAAAUCCCGACUUCGGAAGGGAUGUAUUUAUUAGAUUAAAAACCAAUGCCCUUCGGGGCUCACUGGUGAUUCAUGAUAACUCCUCGAAUCGCAUGGCCUUGUGCCGGCGAUGGUUCAUUCAAAUUUCUUCCCUAUCAACUUUCGAUGUUUGGGUAUUGGCCAAACAUGGUUGCAACGGGUAACGGAGGGUUAGGGCUCGACCCCGGAGAAGGAGCCUGAGAAACGGCUACUACAUCCAAGGAAGGCAGCAGGCGCGCAAAUUACCCAAUCCCGACACGGGGAGGUAGUGACAAUAAAUACUGAUACAGGGCUCUUUUGGGUCUUGUAAUUGGAAUGAGUACAAUUUAAAUCCCUUAACGAGGAACAAUUGGAGGGCAAGUCUGGUGCCAGCAGCCGCGGUAAUUCCAGCUCCAAUAGCGUAUAUUAAAGUUGUUGUGGUUAAAAAGCUCGUAGUUGAACCUUGGGCCUGGCUGGCCGGUCCGCCUCACCGCGUGUACUGGUCCGGCCGGGCCUUUCCCUCUGUGGAACCCCAUGCCCUUCACUGGGUGUGGCGGGGAAACAGGACUUUUACUGUGAAAAAAUUAGAGUGCUCCAGGCAGGCCUAUGCUCGAAUACAUUAGCAUGGAAUAAUAGAAUAGGACGUGUGGUUCUAUUUUGUUGGUUUCUAGGACCGCCGUAAUGAUUAAUAGGGACAGUCGGGGGCAUCAGUAUUCAAUUGUCAGAGGUGAAAUUCUUGGAUUUAUUGAAGACUAACUACUGCGAAAGCAUUUGCCAAGGAUGUUUUCAUUAAUCAGGAACGAAAGUUAGGGGAUCGAAGACGAUCAGAUACCGUCGUAGUCUUAACCAUAAACUAUGCCGACUAGGGAUCGGACGGUGUUAUUUUUUGACCCGUUCGGCACCUUACGAGAAAUCAAAGUGC
rnacentral:rRNA from 1 species